GCCGGGCUGGCGCAAUGGUAGCGCGUGUGACUUCUAAUCACAAGGCUGCGGGUUCGAGUCCCGCGUCUGGUA